GGAGAAGGGUCUAGCUGCAGACCCGCAGACCACUCAACGAAACGCCCCUUUACUCAACGAAACGCCCCUUCACUCAACGAAACGCCCCUUUACUCAACGAAACGCCUCCUCACACUCAACGAAACACCCCCUCACACUACCCGACACUCUGAUUGGCUCUCAAGAGACUGCGUCUGAAACGUGAUGAAGUUUACGUUGACCGAGUAUGAAGAGAGAACCCGAAAAAGUAACACGGUUAAAACACGGGAAAAUAACGGAGGAAAAGAGCAACACUACGUUCAGUGAAGGAGCAGACCCUGAGCUGAGGAGAUGCGACUCGGACACUUAUCAGUGUCCGAUCUGCACAAAAAAGGGGAGCUAUGCAAAGCUUGUGUCCCAUCUGCAGGGACACCAAAGGUCAAUGGUGGAGUACGGUGGAAAGGGCCCAACAAGCCCAACAGAAGCGACGCGAGGCAUGUUGUCUGUUAACCAGUGUAAUCACAGAGGAUCAGGGCAUGCUGCAACAC